rnacentral:rRNA from 1 species
AGUGACGGGGCCCGCACAAGCGGAGGAACAUGUGGUUAAUUCGAUGAUACGCGAGGAACCUUACCUGGGCUUAAAUGCAGAGUGCAUGGAGUGGAAACACUUCUUCCCGUUCGGGGCUUCUUUGCAAGGUGCUGCAUGGUUGUCGUCAGCUCGUGCCGUGAGGUGUCGGGUUAAGUCCCAUAACGAGCGCAACCCUUAUCGUUAGUUGCCAGCGGGUAAAGCCGGGAACUCUAGCGAAACUGCCGGUGUAAACCGAGAGGAAGGUGGGGAUGACGUCAAAUCAGCACGGCCCUUAUGUCCAGGGCUACACACGUGUUACAAUGGCCGGUACAGAGGGCAGCUACCUGGAGACAGGAUGCGAAUCUCGAAAGCCGGUCUCAGUUCGGAUCGGAGUCUGCAACUCGACUCCGUGAAGCUGGAUUCGCUAGUAAUCGCGCAUCAGCCAUGGCGCGGUGAAUACGUUCCCGGGCCUU